UUCUUAUAGUUUAAUAAAAAAAAACCAUUGAUCUUCAAUCAAUAAUUAGAAAUAACAUCUUAAGAAC
rnacentral:tRNA from 1 species